UUGGAUUAUAGACCUGAGGCCCAUUACAAAAUAAGGAUAAGAAAGAGGCCAUGCCCUACAGAAUUAUAAUCCAAGGCCUAUAAAAAAUCAUAUCUAACAACUAUCCACCCUAAACCAGACCAGCCCAUAAACCACAAAAAACCUAGAUCAAACUAGAAAGAACCAAUCAAAGUUUGAGCAUAGUGCAGGGAGAUACAUGGCCACCAACAAAAUUGAAUUUUCAGGCGUAGCUAUGCUGCACGUGAAAGCCAUAAACAGGAGCUCUCCAAACAACACCAAGAAGCAUAGUUAUAGAAGGACCCCAAAAGCACAAGAACCUCAUAUGCUUAGUCAUGUAAAGUGCAACCCGGCAGAUCUAGACUUAAAACAAAUCCUUCACCGAUCGAAAUACAAAAUCUCAGGCCACAGUAGCAAGGUAAGGCAAAAAUAUCAGAAAACCAAGAUGAGAAGGGCAAUAGUGGGUCUCUUCUGCGUCGCACUCACGCCUUUCGGAAUCUCCCUGUCUGUUGGAGCCCAAUGAGUUACCCACCAAAGCUCCUCUCAUUGUUCGUCUGCAAAAGAGCUCCAGCAAUGAUCUACACCUCCCUCUUAUACCUGUGAUGCCUAAGUUAAAAGUCUUCAUGUGGCGUACGCUUCUCAACUCCUUACCUGUGAAGGAAAACUUGCACAAACGAGGAAUCCAUACUGAUCCUCUAUGCCCAAUCUGUCAAACAGAAGUCGAAUCUGUUGAACAUGCCCUUUUUUGGUGCGAUCAUGCCAGAGCAACGUGGUUUGCUAGCCCCUAUGCCUAUAAGCCGAAUCCAAUUGGAUUCUCUUCUUUCUCUGAUUGGUGGCAAACAAGGAUUGUUGAUGACAUUGUUGAGGGAAGUCCACAUUUCCAUUCUGUCUUGGUGAUUGUUUGUUGGCAAAUUUGGAAGGAAUGUAAUCGAGCAGUAUUUGAAGAUUGUACUCUCAAUCCCAUGAGUACUCUGCAUAGGAUUUCUAUUUUGAUUAGGGAGCUGGAAUUCUUAGAAAAUUCUGCCAAUAUGUUAUCUAAUGGCCAUCCUCACCCCAUCCAAGUUAGAUGGUCUCCUCCCAUGCCAGGUCAAUUGAAAUUGAAUUGUGAUGUUGCGUGGAAAGAAAAUGUUCCUACAGCUGCUAUUGGAAUUGUUGUUCGUAACCAAGAAGGAACCUUGAUUGAUGGUGUUGCUAAAAACCUUAGUGCUCCUCUCCUAGUGCUGGUGAAGCUAAGGCAAUUUUGGAAGCUGUUUUACUAGCCAAGUCUCGAGGUUUCAGUUCAAUUAUUGUGGAAUUAGAUUCUGAGAUCUGUAUUCAAGCUAUCACCAAGUCCAAUCAAUUGAUCAAUUGGGAUAUUCGAGCAACAGUUUUGGCAAUCCAGGCUUUAAGAACUUCUUUCUUCUCCAUAUCUUUUACUCAUGUAAAGAGGUCAGGCAAUGCUGUAGCUCACUGUUUAGCCAAGCUUAAGUUUCAGAAUUUACUUCCUUGUAAUUGGCUAAAUACAGCUCCACAUACUCUGAUGAAUCUUUGUCUGUCUGAUGCCCCUUAGGGCCUUGUUAUGCCAUCAGCAUUUCAAAAGAAAAAAAAAGACCAAUUUUCCAAUUUACUUGCAAUUGAGCAUGGAUAAUUAAGCAUUCAUAAAACAUAUUCUCUUGCUUACAAUAUAUAUUAUCUCAGAAAGGGACAUAUAAUAUUUAUUUACUAUUAGCCGUUCAGUCCGCAAACUGAGUGCUCCUUCAAUCCCAAAUUUCAUCUCGCCAAUCAAGCAGCUUUUCACUCAUUUCAUCGACCAGAUCAAGCAGCUUUUGAGGCAUUUCAUCGAUCAACCACCGGCCUCCAAAACUUAGCCAUGAGCUUCAAUAUUAAAAUAACAAUAAUUAAUUAAUUGAUUACAUUAUUUAAAAAAUUAAAGAAAUCAAAAUUACCAGAAAAAGAGAAAGAAAUACUUAGAGUCUUUCCAUCAUCAUCAUCGUCAUCACAAAAUAACCUUAUGUAGAUUAUAAACAAGAAGAGAAAGAAGAUCAAACCAAUGGCGCAAUUGGCAAUGGCAAGCCCCAUGGAAGGU
rnacentral:misc_RNA from 1 species